UACAGAGGUCCCGAGCGUUGUUCGGAUUCAUUGGGCGUAAAGGGUGCGUAGGUGGCGCCGUAAGUCAGGUGUGAAAUUUCGGAGCUUAACUCCGAAACUGCAUUUGAUACUGCGGUGCUUGAGGACUGGAGAGGAGAGUGGAAUUCCUGGUGUAGCGGUGAAAUGCGCAGAUAUCAGGAAGAACACCCGUGGCUAAGGCGGCUCUCUAGUACGGUACUGACGCUGAGACGCGAAAGCGUGGGGAGCGAACAGG
rnacentral:rRNA from 1 species